UUAGUGGCGGACGGGUGAGUAACGCGUGGGUAACCUGCCUCAUACAGGGGGAUAACAGUCAGAAAUGACUGCUAAUACCGCAUAAGCGCACAGCAUCGCAUGAUGCAGUGUGAAAAACUCCGGUGGUAUGAGAUGGACCCGCGUUGGAUUAGCUAGUUGGCAGGGUAGAGGCCUACCAAGGCGACGAUCCAUAGCCGGCCUGAGAGGGUGAACGGCCACAUUGGGACUGAGACACGGCCCAGACUCCUACGGGAGGCAGCAGUGGGGAAUAUUGCACAAUGGGGGAAACCCUGAUGCAGCGACGCCGCGUGAAGGAAGAAGUAUCUCGGUAUGUAAACUUCUAUCAGUAGGGAAGAUAAUGACGGUACCU
rnacentral:rRNA from 1 species